rnacentral:rRNA from 1 species
UACGUAGGAUGCAAGCGUUGUCCGGAAUUAUUGGGCGUAAAGAGCGCGCAGGCGGUUUUACAAGUCAGAUGUGAAAUAUCCGGGCUUAGCCCGGAGGGGUCAUUUGAAACUGUAAGACUAGAGUACAGCAGAGGAUAGCGGAAUUCCCGGUGUAGUGGUGAAAUGCGUAGAUAUCGGGAGGAACACCAGUGGCGAAGGCGGCUAUCUGGGCUGAAACUGACGCUGAGGCGCGAAGGCUAGGGGAGCAAACAGG